UAAAGGCUUCUUAAAACAUGUGUGAAUAUGUGUAUAUUAUACAAAGAGUCUUAUAUUGUCUGCUCUGACAAAAAUAAAGUAUUAUUUUAGGUUUAGGGGAAUUGACUGCGUGUGUCUUAUAAAUACAACUUGAUAAUAUGUUUGUUUUGUAAAGAGACUUCUUUAAAGUCACGCAAGAAUAAAAUAUUUUAGUUGUAACUGGUUAAACUUAAAGCCGAUAUUUUCUAUCGAACUAGUCUAUUUUCUGUUCAGACACAAAGUUUUCUGAUGCUGAUAUUAUGUCAGUGUGUGUUUGUGUGGGGGGUCGUGUGAUGUAAUCUUUGAAAGUUUAUGACCGAACCUUUAUUGGGGAGCGACAAGAGAUCUCCCGGAAUCAGUUUGAAUGGAGCAGAGCUGUUAUACUCAAGUCUAUUGGUAUGUAUGUGUUUCGCUGUGUUCGUUCCAGUAUUUUGUCUGAUUUAUUUAAAAACUAAAAAUUCGAUCUCUGGUAUUGCAGCGAAAUUGUCUAAACUGGUAUUAACUAUUCCUGGUAAAUCGCGGAGAAGAGUGGCCUGAACAAAAAAGUCAGACCGUGACUAGAACCAUCAGCAGCGUAACACGGAAAUCUUGGAACAAAAGAGACGCCGACUGGCUCGUGUUGUCCGGUUUGGAUAUCAGAGGCAAAGCGAACGUUGUGUGUACUAUUGCAAAAUAUAUAGCGGAUCUCCACGGUUAGGAUACAGACCACAACGCUUUGGACGUAUCUUUAAAAAAGAUUAAAAUCAGAGACUUUUUGGAUUUGUCUGGGGACAUUUUAAACAUUUUGUGGCAAAUUGGAUUUAAAACAUUUCGGAUACUGGAUACCUAGUUUGAUUUGUCCACAGAGCUUGUUUAAAACGUUUUCACCGCAUUUUAGGGUUUAUUUUUAAUUAAAGGCUUCUUAAAACAUGUGUGAAAAUGUGUAUAUUAUACAAUGAGUCUUAUAUUGUCUGCUCUGACAAAAAUAAAUUAUUAUUUUAGAUUUUA